rnacentral:rRNA from 1 species
CUACGGGUUGCUCCAGUGAGGAAUAUUGCACAAUGGGGGGAACCCUGAUGCAGCAACGCCGCGUGGAGGAUGACGCAUUUCGGUGUGUAAACUCCUUUUAUAUGUCAAGAAAAUGACGGUAGCAUACGAAUAAGCACCGGCUAACUCCGUGCCAGCAGCCGCGGUAAUACGGAGGGUGCAAGCGUUACUCGGAAUCACUGGGCGUAAAGGGCGCGUAGGCGGGUUGGAAAGUCAGGUGUGAAAUCCUACAGCUUAACUGUAGAACUGCACUUGAAACUUCUAAUCUAGAGUAUGGGAGGGGGAGAUGGAAUUAGUGGUGUAGGGGUAAAAUCCGUAGAUAUCACUAGGAAUACCUAAAGCGAAGGCGAUCUCCUGGAACAUUACUGACGCUAAGGCGUGAAGGCGUGGGGAGCAAACAGGAUUAGAUACCCCCGUAGUC